AGCUUUCUUAUCAUCAACCCAGCAUUUUCGUUCAUCCGCCAUUUUUCUGCAUAAUAUGACGUCAACUCGAUAAGUUGUGUACCAUUUUUCCCAGUUGAGAACUCAUUUUUCAGUCUAUACCGACACCACAUGAAUGCAGCGUGAAGCAGUCAGUGUUGAAAGGGCGUUGAAUCUAAAUGGGUGGAAAAGACUUAAAGGAUAGGUUCACAGUGUAUUUACAGCCAGUAUGGACAGGAGGAACAAUUACAUUGACCAAUAACUCUUUAAAUGAACAUAUGGGCAUGUGAGUGUUGUAUUAGUACUCUAUCUUUUGUCUAAAUGAACCGCAUACAAAUUGAGUGCACAAAGGUUAUUAUUUUUUAAGCAAUAAUCUACAAAGUCUAUAUCUAAACAUUUUUGUUUGAUACUUCAGAAAUGAGUGCUAAUGAACGUCAAAGCCAUGCCGAUGAAAAGACAGUUUAAGGAACAAUGUGUGGACCAGACUUUAAAGACUGGAUCAAAGAAAUUGGAAAUCAUAAUACAAGCAGAAAUCUUUGUAUAAUGAAAGUGGUUUUUAUUUUCUAUGGUAAUGGUCAAUAUUUUCCUGUCUGUCUUCCUGCCUCCUCCUGAAGAACUUGAAGCAUCUCAGUCUUCCAAUUAUGAAGAAACAGAUUUAAGGACAUUAUGUGUUUGUGUGUUUAUCUAUGCAGUAUUUUGGUCUCAUGGUGCGGUAUCUCUUAUCCAUCACAUCAACAUGCAAACUGUAAAAAGAAGACAAAGUGUCAAUUCAAAUGUUGCUGAACUUUCAAAAACGAAGCUCUGAACUCUUUAAUCGAACUUCCUUCCCUGUCCGAUGAUGUCAUCAUGAUGCAAUAAUGUACAGAUCAGCUGCUGCUUUUCUAUUUGCUCUGCUUCCUUAUCUGUAAUACUGAGGCCUGAGAGUCUUGAUACUGGACGCAAGUCUUGACACUGGGGUCGAGUCUUGACACUGGUCAAGUCUUGAUACUGGGCCAAGGGCCGAUACUGGGGCCGAGUUGCAAUACUGGAAUGAAACAAACAGGUAUGCACUGUUUGAAUUGAAGAGUUAUUUCUAGUUGACAUGAUGUAAACUUUUUCUUUUGGUUUAAACUGUCAACAUGUUUUUGCUGAAAACUGAGAUUGUGAGUGUGUGAGUGUGAGGGAAUGCAAAUUUAAGUGUUUAAAGGAGCAGUUCACCCACACAGCUGCACACAGGCCCCACUCUGAACCAGACAGGAGUUGUUACUAACACAUUUGAUUGUUAUUGAUUAUUGUUUAGUUGGAAAUGUAUUUGCGCCAAAUUUUUUUGUGUGUUUUCCCCUCACUAAAUAUAUUUAAAAAGAAUAAAUCCAGAUUUUGAAAAUCUAAGUUAAAAGCUGUACUAGGCAAUUUAUUUUUGGCAUUGUAGGGCCAGAACGUCAUAAUAAUAUUUCAGCAUGUUGUAAUUCAAGUGGUCUGAGAGAAAACUAGACUUCUGUACCUACUCUUGGCUCUGUUUUCAGGCUUUAUAGUGUGUUCCGUUUGUGCUCGGAAGUCGGCUUUUCCGAGGUCAAAGUCGAAAACACGCCCCCUGACCUCGGAUUUCCGAGCCUGGAACUCAGACAACCACCGAGUACCCCGAGCUAAAGAUUCAACGUGGAUGCUCUGUGCAUUAACAGUAGUGAAAGCUUCGUACACGCAGCGCUGUCCAUAUUCUAUCUGUGGGCAUGUUGUUACGCUGUUUGUAAGCACA